UGCCCUUUGGCCCAGUGGUUAAGGCGUCUGACUGUUAUGUUUGCUUCGAAGCUUCAUACACAAGAAAAUCAGAAGAUCCCUGGUUCGACCCCAGGAAGGGCAG